rnacentral:lncRNA from 1 species
AGUGCAAUGUGUGACACAACAGUGCUGAGUGUGACACAACAGUGCUGUGUGUGACACAACAGUGCUGAGUGUGACACAACAGUGCUGUGUGUGACACAACAGUGCAAUGUGUGACACAACAGUGCAAUGUGUGACACAACAGUGCUGAGUGUGACACAACAGUGCAAUGUGUGACACAACAGUGCUGAGUGUGACACAACAGUGCAAUUGUGAACACAACAGUGCUGAGUGUGACACAACAGUGCUGAGUGUGACACAACAGUGCAAUGUGUGACACAACAGUGCAA